GUGGAAGUCAUCCUUUCAUCAGUGCAGCACUUCUUCCUUCCUCUCCGAGCCAUGGAAGCGCCUCUUAAACAAAGACAAUCCGACAAUGACCUCCGCCAAGGCUAAAUUGGAUCAGCACCUUCUCAGGAACUCACCUCCUGCUGUGGAUUGGAUUUUGUCCAUCCUGAGGAUUCAGGCUCAGGAAUAAAGAAAAAUGCAGGAAAAAAACCUUUGUUGCAUCUCUUCUCCACCAAGAAGACAGCCUGCCUGCCUGCAGAGCCCGGCAUUGCUCUGGGACGGACCUGUCAAUCACGUCUGACAACAUCCAGUGGCGUCAUUCUUUGCUGGAGCACUGCAUGUUUGUCAACGUCUCGUGCCCCCUGUGUGGGUUUGUGCUGUAUCCUCGGAAUAGAGUCCCUUUUUCUGCUCUGCAACCAGCAUAAUUAAAGACCGGCAUCUCUGCAUCUUGGGGUCAUCACCACACCAUACCAUGGCAAUGUGCAGGUAGAUCCAAUAAAUGUCAGGUACUGUGCAUUCCAA